rnacentral:rRNA from 1 species
CGGCACGGGUGAGUAACACGUAUCCAACCUGCCGUCUACUCUUGGACAGCCUUCUGAAAGGAAGAUUAAUACAAGAUGGCAUCAUGAGUCCGCAUGUUCACAUGAUUAAAGGUAUUCCGGUAGACGAUGGGGAUGCGUUCCAUUAGAUAGUAGGCGGGGUAACGGCCCACCUAGUCUUCGAUGGGUAGGGGUUCUGAGAGGAAGGUCCCCCACAUUGGAACUGAGACACGGUCCAA